rnacentral:rRNA from 1 species
CUUCGGCCCGUAAACCCCUGUCAUUCGGGAUCAAUGCUUGUUUCCCAACACGAGACAAGUUGAUAGUACCGGAAGAGGAAGGGACGGCUAACUCUGUGC